GCGGCGGUGGCGCAGGGGUACGGUGGGCAACGCAUGAGCGGAGGCUACAGACCUUGACGCAGCUGCCACGGGUUCGAGUCCCGGCCCGUUGACCUUUGCUGCA